rnacentral:rRNA from 1 species
UACGUAGGGAGCAAGCGUUGUCCGGAAUCAUUGGGCGUAAAGCGCGCGUAGGCGGCUCGAUCAGUCUGUUGUGAAAGUCAAAGGCUCAACCUUUGAAUGCCGAUGGAUACUGUCGAGCUAGAGUCCGGAAGAGGCGGGUGGAAUUCCUGGUGUAGCGGUGGAAUGCGCAGAUAUCAGGAGGAACACCGGUGGCGAAGGCGGGACUCUGGGCCGAUACUGACGCUGAGGAGCGAAAGCGUGGGGAGCGAACAGG